AUUGAACGCUGGCGGCAUGCUUUACACAUGCAAGUCGAACGGUAACAGGCCUCCGGGCGCUGACGAGUGGCGAACGGGUGAGUAAUGCAUCGGAACGUGCCCAGUCGUGGGGGAUAACGCAGCGAAAGCUGUGCUAAUACCGCAUACGAUCUGCGGAUGAAAGCGGGGGACCUUCGGGCCUCGCGCGAUUGGAGCGGCCGAUGUCAGAUUAGGUAGUUGGUGGGGUAAAGGCUCACCAAGCCAAAGAUCUGUAGCUGGUCUGAGAGGACGACCAGCCAAACUGGGACUGAGACACGGCCCAGACUCCUACGGGAGGCAGCAGUGGGGAAUUUUGGACAAUGGGCGCAAGCCUGAUCCAGCAAUGCCGCGUGCAGGAAGAAGGCCUUCGGGUUGUAAACUGCUUUUGUACGGAGCGAAAAGGCUCCCUCUAAUACAGGGGGCUCAUGACGGUACCGUAAGAAUAAGCACCGGCUAACUACGUGCCAGCCGCCGCCGUAAUAC
rnacentral:rRNA from 1 species